rnacentral:lncRNA from 1 species
CAUAUUAUAAAAAUAGAUUAAAAUGGAUAAAAGGGUAAGAGGAAAAUUUACUCUAGUUAGGAGGCAAGUUAACGAUAAGUUAGCAACAUGCUGAGUUCAUGGUGUGGAAUGAGUUCCCAGUCUCAUUCAAUUCAAGCCUUGCUUUGUACUGAGAGUUGGUUGAUUAAUAUAAAGUCUUUUCCUCUUCAAAGUCAUUCUUCUCUGCUUUUCGUGCAGACUAAAUAAAAUUGGAUCAAAUAAAUUCAAUUUUCGACCAUUGCAAACGGUGAUUAUAGUAGAGAACUGCUUGCACAUAACACAACACAAGCACAAGCUACGUCUUCUGCAAUGCCAGAAAUAAGCUCCAUAACUAGAACGAAAACUCAAGAACAAGAUGUAAGAAAAGGAAACAAAAGCUUGUUUGUCUGAGGCUGGAUCGGUGGAGCUAAGAAGGGACGAUAUUAUUUUCAUUUCAUAGCUUUUGCAUGAGAUUAAGAUAAUUGCAAACUCGAGCUGAAUCUGAAAUGGCUAAACUUCUACCGUUGUUGAUGUUGCUGUAUCGAGAUCGACCAGAGGAGUGAACGCGGUGAGGAAUUGAAAGAAGCAGGAGAAGAAGUUUUUUCCGACUUGGUAAGAAGGGUUCAUUGCUGAUACGAUAAGUGUCCGUAUUAAGGAUAUCAGUUAGGUUAUUUUUAGGUGCAGUUUGUUUCUCAAAAAAGCUACAUAAAUGACUAUUAAAUAACUAAAAUUACUAGGAACGAAAUAGACUAAGCUCAAAAAAUAUAGGGACGAAAUGAUGAAAUUUGGCAUACAAAAUUCUUGACAUGGG